rnacentral:rRNA from 1 species
GAAACAGUGGCUAAGACUGGAUAGGAAGAUAAAAGGCAUCUUGUAUCUUUUAAAAGACCUAGUAAUAGGUAUGCUUUAGGAGGGGCUUGCGCCAUAUUAGUUAGUUGGUAGGGUAAUGGCCUACCAAGACGAUGAUGUGUAGCUGGACUGAGAGGUUGAACAGCCACAUUGGGACUGAGACACGGCCCAAACUCCUACGGGAGGCAGCAGUAGGGAAUUUUCGGCAAUGGAGGAAACUCUGACCGAGCAACGCCGCGUGAAUGACGAAGUACUUCGGUAUGUAAAGUUCUUUUAUCAAGGAAGAAAAGCAAAUGGCGAACCAUUUGUUUGCCGGUACUUGAUGAAUAAGCCCCGGCUAAUUAUGUGCCAGCAGCCGCGGUAAGACAUAAGGGGCAAGUGUUAUCCGGAAUUAUUGGGCGUAAAGGGUGCGUAGGCGGUCUAGUAAGUCAGUGGUGUAAUGGCAACGCUUAACGUUGUCCGGCUAUUGAAACUGCUAAACUUGAGUUAGAUAGAGGCGAGUGGAAUUCCAUGUGUAGCGGUAAAAUGCGUAAAUAUAUGGAGGAACACCAGAGGCGUAGGCGGCUCGCUGGGUCUUAACUGACGCUGAGGCACGAAAGCGUGGGGAGCAAACAGGAUUAGAUACCCUGGUAGUCCACGCCGUAAACGAUGAGUACUAAGUGUCGGGUUAAACCGGUACUGAAGUUAACACAUUAAGUACUCCGCCUGAGUAGUACGUACGCAAGUAUGAAACUUAAAGGAAUUGACGGGACUCCGCACAAGCGGUGGAUCAUGUUGUUUAAUUCGAAGAUACCCGAAAAACCUUACCAGGUCUUGACAUGUUUUUGCAAAAUGAUAGUAAUAUCGUGGAGGUUACCAGAAACACAGGUGGUGCAUGGUUGUCGUCAGCUCGUGUCGUGAGAUGUUAGGUUAAGUCCUAAAACGAGCGAAACCCUUAUCGUUAGUUGCCAGCACGUUAUGGUGGGGACUUUAACGAGACUGCCAAUGAUAAAUUGGAGGAAGGUGAGGAUCACGUCAAAUCAGCAUGCCCCUUAUGACCUGGGCUACAAACGUGAUACAAUGGCUGUUACAAAGGGUAGCUGAAACGCAAGUUCUUGGCCAAUCCCCAAAAACAGUCCCAGUCCGGAUUGAAGUCUGCAACUCGACUUCAUGAAGUUGGAAUCGCUAGUAAUCGCGAAUCAGCAUGUCGCGGUGAAUACGUUCUCGGGGUUUGUACACACCGCCCGUCA